AUGUGGAUGCAAAUUGAAGCUGCUGCGUCUUGGAGUGCUUUACAAUCAAUAACUGAAGUAAAAAUCGAGUCAACCGAAUCAAGCCACAAAAUGGAAUCAAACGGCAACGGCAACGGCCAUGGCAAACGCAGCAAGAAAGGACGCAAAGCGCGCAAUACAGCAUCACACACCACACAGCAUCAUCCGUGGGACGAAGGCAACACAGCAGCAGCAGCAACAUCUGUAGCAGCAGCAGCAGCAGCAUCUGCAACAACAACAGUAAAUCGCACUGCGUGCACCGGCACCGCUUUGACGCGAUUUCUGGUUUGCAUGGCACCUGUAUUUGUGUCGCUACCUGGCGCUGGAACUGGCCCAAGUGAGCAGCCAACCAUAUUGCUGAUCAACGGCAUCAGCGACGACGCUCCGCUGCAAGCGAAAAGGGAAGAGGUAGAGGAAGAGGGAGAGACACCUAUACAGAAACAGAGCAAGGCGGCACUGAAGCUAGCCCUUGAGAAUAACAACGAACUGCCAGUCAGCGGUUUGAAUCAGCCCACACAGGUGCCCACCACGCCGGGCGGCUCGCAUUUGCUGGACUUUGAAUCUCAUCUCAUUGAGGACGUGAACAGAGCAGAGCAGAGCGGCAUUGGCAUCAAGGAGCUGCCGCCCAUCGAGCAGGAGCUGCAGACGGGCACAUCCAAGGUCGAGGCUGACGGAGUCUCGCAUGCCAUUGAGGUGGAGCCAGCGGGCGCCAAGACAAAGCAGCCAAUAGAGACUCUCGCACCGUCGCAUCAAAUUGCCGAGGUAGACGAGACGGCAACGGCAACAGCAACUGCAGCAGCUGCAGCAACGGAAGCAUCGGAGGCAGUGCGUCAGACUGCCGAGCAGCUGGUGAAUGACAUUGAGCGCGAGCUAAUUGAGAGCUUCAGCAAAGAUGUAGCACAGGCCAAGGCGGAGCAGGAAGAGCAGCUCAAGUCAGAGCUAACCGCAGUGAAUUCGCUUUCACAGCAGGUGGACGCCCAACUGAAUGAGCUGACCAGCAUACUCAAGACCAAGGUGCAGCCAAAGAUUGCCUUGGAGCAAGCGCGAGCUGAAGAUAACUCAACGAAAAUCGCUGCCAACGAGCUGAAGCUUGUCGAAGUGCCAACACCCAAAUCGGAGGCAGAGGAACAGCAACGCAAGGAGUUCAUCGACUCACUGCCACAAUUCGAACAGGAUCGCCUGGAUACUCACACGGAUGCGGAGGCCAAGCGUCUGUCCGCCGACUGCAAGCGAGAGUAUUACCAGUCGCUGAAGAAGUAUCUGCUGCAGAGCAGCCUAGACAAGCCGCCGGUGCCGCUGCAGACCUAUCGCUGGGAGGAUCUCCGAAGGGCCAGAGAGCGGGGCGGCUAUCCUUGGACACAUCUGUACAAGCGUCCCCUGGGACCCGACGAGGAGCCGGAGAUUGUUUUGCUGCUGCGCAAGUCGCAGGAGCUGCGCUUCAAGUCCGAAUCACCCAAGUCGCUGAAGAAGGUGCGCUACGACGAGCAGGUGUUGGUCAAAGAAACCGAGCGCUACAUACAGGAUCUGUCCGAGGACGAGGUCCUGGACAACACAGACGACGACGACAGCAGCGAGGAGUCCGAAGAUUCCGACGACUCAGAGCGCCGCUCCCACAACGAGGACACGCUCAGCGAGUGCAUCUCCUGUGUCUCCGACUCGGUGCUCGCCGUUGGAGGCCACGCGAGGCCAAGGAAAACGAAUCGCCUAGCGCAAAUACGUGACAUCAUCAAGCGCAGGCGCAGCGGACGCACUCAGGCCGACGCUCAGUCGCUGCCCGGCAGCUCGGCAAAUCCUAGUAGACAGGGCAGUCUGCACGAACUAGCGCCGCCGCCAGGAUCGUUAGUUCCGAAUACAGACAAGCCGCCCAAGAAGCAGCAGCAGAAGCCAAAGAAGAGCUUCGACAUUAUGAAGAAGCUCAAGAGCUUGGCGGAGCGCCAAAAGAAGCGCCUGAACAUCAAGCGCAUUACGCUCAAGAAGGACGAGAAAAUCGUCCUGGGUGAGCAGCAGAAGAUUAUGAAGCUGAAAGCCUCACCAAAGUCGACCCGCGGCGAGAUACCGCACUUUAUAGAGAAGCAGGACUCCGAUGAUGUGCUCGAGCUGGUGGAGUACGACGAAUCGCCCUGCAGGAAGCGCACCAAAGAGGAGGAGCAGCAGGAUGAGCUGCCCAGCACCAGUGCAGCAGCCAGCGUGCCACAGCCGGACGAGAUCAUUCAGCUGCCCGUGGAGCAGACCAAGACUGAAACGCCCGCCCAGGAAGUCAGCGAGUCAACACCAGAGGCUGUCGAGGAGCCCAUCGAGGCGGAGGCGAAGGUAGAGGCGGAGGCGGAAGUGGAGACGCCGCCCAAGAAAACACCACGGCUGCGUCGUGACCAUGUUUACGAGGAGAUUGGCCACGCGGAGUCGCAGCUGCCGCUGGAGCAGCCCAUCGUGGAGCUCGAUGCACUGAAGAAGUCGCUAAUACGUCAAGAUAAUCUCACUGUAGAUGACAUCGAGGCAGCCAAGCCUGUGCCCCUCGAUCGCAUGGGCAGCAGCGAGGAGGAUCAGGUGGCCGUGGCUGCUGCCGAGAAAUCUGUGGGUCUCCUGGCGCCACUCUCGUCCAUAGACUCCACGUCCUCGGAUGAAGACCGUGCGCGUCUCGCACAGCUGUCGCCCGUUGUCGAGGAGAGCGACGAGCCAUCCGAGAUUACCGAGCUGCGACCCGCAUUGAAGAAGGAGGCCUCGCCGGCGCCAUCCGACAAGAAGGUGACCUUCUCCCACGUCGAGGAUGAGGCCGAGCCGCAUCGCGAGGACAUCGAGCUGCCCGAGGAUGUGCUGGAGGCGGCCACAACAGCGGCCAAACUGAAGAGCGAUAGAAACUCUAACCCAAUUGACUUGCUUAUGAAAUUGUUACUAACCCUCGUGCCGGGUGUCGAUGGCGACGGCCUGCGACGUCGUCUGCACAGUCUCCGGUACAAGCAACACAAGCCCUACUAUCGCGAUUACCACUACACCGACAACAACCACACAGACAACACCUCAACCUACACGCCCACUCGCACGCCCACGCCCACUCACAGAACCUGGCGAUUGAAGCUAACCAACACUUGGACGCUCUGCUGCUGCUGCAGCAGCAGUGGAGCAACCAAGAAGUAUUGGUAAGGGGUAGCACUUUGGAGACGGCUCUUAACUCUUAACAUGAUAUAGACCCAAGGCGGCAGCGGCGCAUUGCUCAAAAUAGAACCACUAAGUGCAGGCCAACAAAUUGUUACUCCUGCUGCUCGGCCACAUCCCAAUUAUGAACAAGCAGCGCAGUCGGCGUCGGCAUCGCAGUCGCAGUCGCAGUCGCAGUGGACGUCGCAGUUGAAAUGGGGAUUUUAAACGAGGAAAUUAAAGACAACUACAAAUUCAAUUCAUGCUGCCCAUUGGCAAUGUAUUUGUCGCCCCAAGCAUGUAUAUGUGACUGUGUGUGUGUGUGUGUGCUUUUUGCUAAUUUUAAAGAACAACAUAUUCAAAAACGAAAAUUUUCGUAAAAAUUUUUUGUGUCGCGUAAAAUGUGAAAAGCUCUCAGUCCUGGCCGAAAAUCGCAACGAUGUAGACGCUCGCCUCGAACGGGCCGCAGUGCAAGAAAAGAAAGAAAAAGAGAAAAGAUAGAAAGAAAAUCUAGAUCACGAAGAAUCUGAACUAUAUAACAUACAAAAGACAUCUGUGCUGGAAGCGCCCAGUUCGAAUAGGGCUUGAAGACUAGAAAAAGCUCGUUUCGCCAUUACAUUUUCAAUAGUGCAAAAAUAGCUGUAAAAGCAGAAAAUUUAAAGAAAAUUAUAAAUUCAAUGUCCAAAGGCGGCGACGACGGCGACGACGGCGGCUGCUUUGGUGAUGCUUAAAAAUAGA
rnacentral:misc_RNA from 1 species